rnacentral:rRNA from 1 species
UCCACGCCGUAAACGAUGUCUACUAGCCGUUGGGAGACUUGAUUUCUUAGUGGCGCAGCUAACGCAAUAAGUAGACCGCCUGGGGAGUACGGCCGCAAGGUUAAAACUCAAAUGAAUUGACGGGGGCCCGCACAAGCGGUGGAGCAUGUGGUUUAAUUCGAUGCAACGCGAAGAACCUUACCAGGUCUUGACAUCCUGCGAAUUUUCCAGAGAUAGAUUAG